rnacentral:rRNA from 1 species
GCAACGCCGCGUGAGGGACGACGGCCACCGGGUCGUAAACCUCUUUUAGUAGGGAAGAAGCGAAAGUGACGGUACCUGCAGAAAAAGCACCGGCUAACUACGUGCCAGCAGCCGCGGUAAUACGUAGGGUGCAAGCGUUGUCCGGAAUUAUUGGGCGUAAAGAGCUCGUAGGCGGUUUGUCGCGUCUGCUGUGAAAACCCGAGGCUCAACCUCGGGCCUGCAGUGGGUACGGGCAGACUAGAGUGCGGUAGGGGAGAAUGGAAUUCCUGGUGUAGCGGUGGAAUGCGCAGAUAUCAGGAGGAACACCGAUGGCGAAGGCAGUUCUCUGGGCCGUAACUGACGCUGAGGAGCGAAAGCGUGGGGAGCGAACAGGAUUAGAUACCCUGGUAGUCCACGCCGUAAACGUUGGGCGCUAGAUGUGGGGACCAUUCCACGGUUUCCGUGUCGCAGCUAACGCAUUAAGCGCCCCGCCUGGGGAGUACGGCCGCAAGGCUAAAACUCAAAGGAAUUGACGGGGGCCCGCACAAGCGGCGGAGCAUGCGGAUUAAUUCGAUGCAACGCGAAGAACCUUACCAAGGCUUGACAUAUACGAGAACGCUCUAGAAAUAGAGAACU